AGGUACAUUUGACUUGGAUUCCUACCACCUGUAACCAAGAGUUCUAAUGAACACCGAUCAUAAUGCACUGGAGUAAGGAUGGAAGACUUCCUAUAGAACACGAAUCUGGAGCUGCACUCUUCUCUGCAUCAAGGGUCCUGAUGGGGGAGUUUCCACGAGCCAUGCUGAAGCGCACACACGUUCUUGACAGAGACACGUGGCAGCGAUUACACGUGGUGUUAGGCACAAGUCACUGCAGCAGGGCGGCUCCAAGUCCUCUCCUGGGCACAGUCUCAAACUGCCUCCACAACCUCCUCGGCUUCUGACUCCUUUUCUAAACCACAUGUGGUGAUGGAGAAGGGGAGAGGCGGGAGUCAGGGGGUACAAGCGGCCUGAGACAGGGCUCUUCCUCCCAGAAAACUACAUGGGGUUUCCCUCUGUUGUCUCAAUUGAGUGGGACAGCCUAGAAUGAUCUUCCUCACCAGCUUUCUGUCUGAGGACACAA